rnacentral:lncRNA from 10 species
UAGCUGGGCCUUGACCAAAAGAAAGAAAGCUACAAGGCAUGAUCACAUUAUAACUCCCAAGGUUACAUAUUAAGUUCAAAUUAUCAAUAGAGACUAAUUUGUGGUUUCUCAACCAAUUAUAUGUUUCCAGGAGAUCAUCUGCUUGACUUAACAUAAAAAAUAUAUCCACCCAAGGUCAAAUGAAUACUAUCUUUGAGAAAGAGGGGGAAAUGGGCUUACAGAUUUAUGUGAAAUAAUAAACACCUUAUGUCAGAUACUAUUUUUUUUUCAACUUUUAUUUUGGAUUCAGAGGGUGCAUGUGCAGGUUUGUUCCAUGGGUAUAUUGUGUGAUGCUGAUGUAUAUGGUAUGGAUGACCCCAUCACCCAGGUUGUAAGCAUACUACCAAUAGUUUUUCAACCCUUGCCCCAUCCCUUCCUGUUGCAGGUCUAAUGAUCUUAGCCUGGUGAUCCUACAGGUGCAUCAGAUUAAUUGAUUUGCUAACUCUUCUCAUCAUCUUUGUCCCCAAACCAGAGCCACAUAUAUUUUCAGUUCACCUCCUUUUUGUGCCAUAGCUAUCUCUUCCUUGCCUUUAUUACCCUACCUUCAAUUCUAUGUUAUUAAAAUACAAAUCUGAGGUCUUUUCUGCUUAAGCCUGUUGAAUGGG